CGCUGAGUGAGGAGGUAGGAGAGAGUCUGCUGCCGGAGUUUGCCGGCGGACGGUAAUAGGCGAACGGUGGUGGUGCCGUUGCUGGAGGGCACGGGUGUGAGCGGCGAUGGGCGGAUCUGCGUGGCGUCUGCACCGGCGGCGAUGAGCGGAGAUGGGCGAAUCUGCAACGUGGCUCAAGCGGCAACAGUGAGAAGGACAACUCGCCUCCGACUUUUGAGCUCUCCAUAGGAAAGAUAAAUCCCCAGGCUCCUGGUUGGAAUAAAAGGGGGCCGAGCAGUACGAACAUCAGCCCCUAGCACUGACAGUGUGGUCAAGGAAGAUGCGGACGUGAACAAGGUUGUACCACUUGUGCAAGACGAAGAUAACAAUUGCCCUAGUAAGAUAGUAGGUCCAUCUUCAGAAGAAUGGUUUGCAAUUAGACUAUUUUGUUUUUGCAAAAUGUGAAUGGAUGAUCAUAUAUGGUAACACAUCUUGGGGCUUGUUUCUGGUAGCUGAUGCUGGUUUAAUGGAUGUUGUUCUGGAGGAGAUCAACGCGAUGCAUGUACAUGCCUCUCAGGCGGCAUCAUGCGAUGUUAGGGCACGCACAAGCAUCCCAUUGGUAAAACAAGAAGGUGUUGGAGAUGGUGAUGUGCAGGGGCCUGAUGAUGUGGUUGUGCGCAGGGUGGAGCGGAUAGAUGACGUGCAUCUAGAUGAUCAACUUGCUCGGCAACUUGAAGCAGAGCUGGAUGCGGAAUAUGAGAUGGAGAUAGCAUCCCGUGCACCGGCUGCGAGUGCGACGACGGGUUUGGUUCACGGGGUUAUUGACAUCUCUGAUGAUGAAAGCAAUGAUGAAGUUGAUAUGGAAGAAUGGUCUGAUGAUCCUGAGCACGCUAAGUUGUCUGAGACAGAUAGAAAGCUGAGGGAGCAAGAGCUGCAAGAUCCAGAUGUCACGAAAAUGUAUCAAGAAAUGUAUGAUAAAAAUGAUGGCCCGCGGGAAGAAGACUGAGGUUGCAAUGAUGUAUCAAAAACUGUAUGAUCAAAAUGCAACUAAAGCUGAGAUCGCCAAUGCGACAGCAAACCAAAAGUUUGCUCAGGAGGUCGAACCAGCAGGUCGAGAAACAAGCCCCGUGGAGGGUGGCCAUAGAGUAAACAAAGUAUACUACCACAAAUGUGAAAUAUGUUGACACUGAUUUACUUGAUCUGUCAAUUGUACAUGCACAUGUUCAGGUUGAUAAAAGUGCGAAUGAGAAUUGCCGUCGCUGGCAGGCAAAUAUCGAAGGAUGGGCGUACAUUGGUGGUUCUCAGCCAUGAUGGUGGUUGUUGAUUUGAUUCUCUUUAUAGCCUUGAAGUAAUGCUUGGUUUGAUUCUCUGCAUUGCAAUGCUUGGUUUACUACAGAUAGCAUAUACAUUUAAGUUCCCUCCUGAGAAUUGUAUUAGAACUACUACCCUGAUUACAUAUGCAAUUUGCAUAAUAUAUUUGGACGGAUGCCCCCCUGAUUUUAAGUA